rnacentral:tRNA from 1 species
UCUCUUCCCUAUCAGUGACUAUGAAGUAUUCUAAAUUAGCCUUUUCUUAUAUAAAUAAAUAGCAUUUCCAUUCAGAGGAAUUUAAACCCCUUCCCUAACAUGCCCUUAGGAUAGCAAUAUAAAAUAGAUGCAUAUACAUAUCACUUUUACUUACCUUAUUUUAAAACUUUGAGUUAAUUUUCAAUCUAGAAAAUGCUCUUCACAGCUUGUUAAAUCCACUUUGGGAUCUAAUAUUGCCCCGUGUAGUCCUAGCUGUGUAUAUAUUAGCCUAUAAAGAUUUAUAAACAACUAGGGAGUGUUUGAGUCCAAGAUGGUGACACAGGAAGAUCCUGACCUCCCCUCUGGGCACACCAAAUCUACACCUAUUUACAGGCAGUUCCUCCUGAAGAGAUACUGAGGGCUGACUGAACAGCUUCUGUACAAGAUAGAUCACACAGAAAAUAGCAGGAGAGACUGAGCCAUGGUAACAAAGGGUGCCCCCACCCCUGAUGCUGCAAACUGCAGGGGGAGGAUAGUAAUGAGGUACCCAGAGCAGAUUCGUCUACCCUGGGCCACAGAAAAUAAAAGCUAUGGCUUAAAAGAACAACCAAAAUAUAAAGGAAAUAGCUCUUGAACCCUGCUAAUUGGCAGGGGAGCUGCUGCAACAAGCUCUGGGUCGGAGGGCCCAGUGAGUGCCACAGUUUAUGUUCCCCCACCACCUUGACAGCAUAGAGAAGAGUGGGUCCGCGCCCUAACCAGCCUACCAACGCGACGAUCCCUGUAGGCCCCCAAACCACACCAGCUCUCACUGUCCCACCAGGGUAGCCCCACCCUGGGGCACAUGAGGACAGCUCGUGGUCAGUGCUCACUGCAGCUUCAGCUCUCUCACCACACUGAGGCAGGCACAAAGCCUCUCAGAACACUCCAAACCUGCACCGCUUUGGCUUCAGAUGGCUUUCUAGGGCACCCCCAGCUGACGCCUUUUCUCAGCUCCAGCUGCCCUACCAGGAAACCCUGGCUUAUACCCACUCUAGCUGUCCUUUGAGGGCACCAUCUAUGCAGAGAGCCCUGGGGCAAUCCCAGCCCAUGCCCAUUUCAGCUAUAACUGUUCUUCCCAAUUGUGCCCAACACAAAGUACCCAGGGACCCACCCAGCCAACAACCCACCUUGGCUAUGGCUGCCCCCACCAGGGUACCUUCCUUCCACACAUUCCUGAAUACCCCAGCUUAUAUUCACUUGAAUUCCAGCCAUCCUGCAAGGGUACCCUCUGCAGAGAAUCCUGGGACCACCCACUGCUUGCAUCUACUUCAGCUUCAGGGUACCCACUAUGCAUAGAGCCCAGGAAUCACACUAGCUGGCACGCAGUUCAGCAUUAGCUGUCCCACCAGCCAGAGCAUCCCCUGUGUGGAGAGCCCCCAGCUUGAACACAGUUAACCUCCAGCUCUCCUGCCAAGGCACCCUCUGCAAAAAACCUCAGGACCCACCCCUGGCCCCAUACCCACCUAAUCUCCAACCAUUUCACCAGGGCAGCCCCAGCAUGGGGUACCCUACAAUCCCCAACCCAUGCCAGCCAUAACUCCACCCAGCUAGUAAAAGUUACCAGGUAUAUACAGUUUACAUAGGGGACAACCACACACCAAGACCAUUCCUUCAAGUUUAGGAGAAGUAGCUGAACUGCCUAAUUCAUAGAAAUACAGUGUUAAGCAAAAUGGGGAGACAGGAAUGUGCCCCAAAGAAAAGAACAAGACAAAACUACAUAAAAAGAAAUUAAUGAAAUGGAGAUAUGCAACUUGCCUUUAAAUGAAGGCAUUUCUUUUCUUCAUUCUUUAAAUGAAAAAUUUUGAAUGAUUGUAAAGAUGGGCAAUGGGCUGGAGAGAAGAGUAGAACUCAGUAAGAACUUCACAAAGACCUGGAAAAUAUAAAGAACCAGAGUUGAAGAAUACAGCUGAAAUCACAAGAUUAAUGGAUACAGAAGAAUGAUCUGAAAGAUGGGGUAAUGGAAAGGACCCAAGCUGAACAGUAAAAAUAAAGAUUAUUUUAUUUCAAUUUUUAUUUAUUUUUCUUAAAUUUUUAUUUUUCUUAAAGUCCCAUGUUGUGCCCAACAUGAGGCUUGAACUCAUAACCCUGAGAUCAAGAGUUACAUGCUCCAUCAACUGAGCCAGCCAGGCGCCACCCAAAAAUAAAAGAAUUAAAAAAAAAAAAUGAAGAUCGGGGACAACUGGGUGGCUCAGCAGUUGAACAUCUGCCUUCGGCUCAGGGCAUGAUCCCAGGGUCCUGGGAUCGAGUCCCACAUUGGGCUCCCUGCAGGGAGCCUGCUUCUCCCUUUGCCUGUGCAUCUCUGCCUCUGUGUCUCUCAUGAAUAAAUAAAUAAAAUCUUAAAAAAAAAUGAAGAUAAGGGAUCGGUUGGACAACAUCAAAUGAACAAACAUUCAUAUGAUAGGGCUCCCAGAAGAAUAAAGAGAGAAGGUGGCAGAAAAUUUAUUUGAAGAAUUACAGCUGGAAACUUCCUUAACAUACAGAAGGAGAUAGACAUUCAGAUUCAUGAAGCAUAUAGAGCCCAACUCCUUAAUAAGAUGAACUCAAGAAGGUCCACACCACAACAUAUAAUUAAAAAUGUCAAAGGCUGAAAAAGAAUAAUUGUAAAAACAGCGAAAAUGAAGCAAAAAGUUCUGUACGAGAGAAACUCCAUAAGGCUAUAUCAGCUGAUUUUUCAGCAGAUGGAAAAAGAGCAAGGGAAGGAAUGGUGAAGAACUAUAAAAACAACCAGAAAACAGUUAACAACAUGGCAGUAAGUAUGUAGCUGUCAAUAUUUACUUUAAAUGUAAAUGGUCUAAAAUGUUCCACUCAAAAGACAUAGGGGUUGUAGAAUGGAUUUAAAAAACAAGACCAUGUAUAUGCUGCCAGUAAGAGACUUACUUCAGGCCUAAAGACACAUUACAGACUGAAAGUGAAUGGAUAGAAAAACAAAUGGAAGCAAAAAGAAAACUGGAUGUAUGUAACAGUACAUACAUCAAAACAAAACAAAAAAAA